UCUCCUUUUUUGUUACACGGGUUUCAAAGUACCAUGCAGGAUUGUGCAGUGCCAAGUGCCUUAUGGGGCUGAGCUUGUCAGUGCUGUCAAACUGUCUCUCAAAAGAUGCCUGUUAGAAACGCAGGGAUUUUUGGAUCAUUUGUUUGUUCUAGUGUUUGUUUUGGAUUUGGUGCACCUCAGCUUGGGUGGGUUGUGUCCCAGUCAAGAUUUACAGGAGAAUGCCAGUGACUAGUCUUAACACAUCAGAGCUAAACAAUUGCUCAUUGGGGUUAUGCUUUAAAAAGGAGCAUGGCAGCUGUUUUCACCAGACCAUCUCACUUUGUGGAUUUGUCCAUUUGGGGAAUGGGUCCAGAGUCUGAGCAGCUGCUGCCACACUGAUGAGAGCCUCCCAGUACAGACCCUGAUUCUUAGCCUUUUCAGAUCACAAGUUCCCUGACUGAAACCCAGGGUUCUGCUCAUCCCAUCUCUUUUCUCAGGAGAGUCUGAGGCACAAGAUAAAAACAAGGAUAAAAGUGCAGAUAACAGUCAUGCUGCUGUUUUUCCAUUAACCCAGCCCCCAAUGCGUUACCCCAGCUGCAUGCUCCACAGAUCUCUGCCUCAGACUCCCCAGUCUGAAAAACGUUCCUGACAAAGAAGCAAGAGAUGUUGUCUGCCAGAGAGGGGUGGAAGGAGAAUGGACAUGGUUACAAGGUUUGUUUAUCAGUGGUCUUUGGAUGGUGCAAGACCUCAGCGUGGGUGAUGGAUCAGUAUAAAUUAAGGUUCUUACUGCUGAAAUAGUCACCAAGAUGAGAGGUAGCAAAAUAUCUAGAGCCAAAUUUUAAGCAGGUUACCUAGCAUCUCUGAAUACUUUCCAUAGGUGCUGCUGCAUGACUGAAAACCUGGCCAUUAGUUAUUGUUAUUGAUUACUUAAGUGCCCUAUUACCAACUUCAGCACUGCUUAAUGGGAAAAUUAGCCACUCUUUGGGACCCCUACCUUUGUUACUUUUCCUCUCCUACCCUCUCUUCUGUUUCUUGCCUUCCUGCUUCCCUUCUCAUUUUUUCUAUUUUAUCAAUCUCCUGUUUUCUACCCCCCUUUCUCAAAUCAUCUGCUAAAAUAAUCAUCAA